AUAGCAUGUCAGAAGGCAGACCCGGAGAACUGAAACAUCUUAGUACCCGGAGGAAGAGAAAGAAAAAUCGAUUCCCUGAGUAGCGGCGAGCGAAACGGGAAGAGCCAAAACCAACAAGCUUGCUUGUUGGGGUUGUAGGACACUCUAUACGGAGUUACAAAAGAACAUGUUAGACGAAUCAUCUGGAAAGAUGAAUCAAAGAAGGUAAUAAUCCUGUAGUCGAAAACAUAUUCUCUCUUGAGUGGAUCCUGAGUACGACGGAGCACGUGAAAUUCCGUCGGAAUCUGGGAGGACCAUCUCCUAAGGCUAAAUACUCUCUAGUGACCGAUAGUGAACCAGUACCGUGAGGGAAAGGUGAAAAGUACCCCGGAAGGGGAGUGAAAGAGAACUUGAAACCGUGUGCUUACAAGUAGUCAGAGCCCGUUAAUGGGUGAUGGCGUGCCUUUUGUAGAAUGAACCGGCGAGUUACGAUCUGAUGCAAGGUUAAGCAGCAAAUGUGG
rnacentral:rRNA from 1 species